rnacentral:rRNA from 1 species
AACGAACGCUAUCGGUAUGCUUAACACAUGCAAGUCGGACGGACUAAUUAGGGCUGGCUCCAUUGAGUUAGUGGCAGACGGGUGAGUAACACGUGGGAAUCUGCCCAUCUGUAAGGAAUAACUUUUAGAAAGAAAAGCUAAUACCGUACAUUCUCUACAGAGGAAAGAUUUAUCGCAGAUGGAUGAGCCCGCGUCAGAUUAGGUAGUUGGUGAGGUAACUGCUCACCAAGCCGACGAUCUGUAGCGGGUCUGAGAGGAUGAUCAGCCACACUGGGACUGAGACACGGCCCAGACUCCUACGGGAGGCAGCAGUGGGGAAUAUUGGACAAUGGACGAAAGCCUGAUCCAGCAAUGCCGAGUGAGUGAUAAAGGCCCUAGGGUUGUAAAGCUCUUUUAGCAAUGAAGAUAAUGACGUUACUUGCAGAAAAAGCCCCGGCUAACUCCGUG